UCAUCAGUUCACCGAAGUGAUUUUGGCACUAUAUGUGUACAAUAAGCAACAGCGGGGACCAAACUAUCCAGCUCAUCACAACACUUCGAGAAGAAGAAUGGUUUUCAAUGCAAGUAGCUGACUACACAGAUUGGAGUUGGAUGCUUUUCUUGGUCUGUUCAUUGAUUUCAUCGAUACUCAUUGUCUGUCUAGUUUUGAGGCGAUAUUGCUUCCAUUCAUACGGCUGACUACCUCAAUUGUAAACAAGCAAACCUAAUUUUUACAUACAAGAAGUAGAGUACGUAAUAGAGUGCAGGGAGAAUUUAUAUGAAGCUGCCUUCGUUACAAGAUACCGCACGGAUGUUCAUUCAAAAGAACUACGAGGAUUUUCUCUGAAAAGA
rnacentral:lncRNA from 1 species